AAAUAUAAAAAAAUAAUAGAGAAAAGAAAGGGGAUGAUGUCCCAUUUUUCCUCUUUAGCCAACAUGUACUUUGACCAAUUAUUUUGGCUUUGCGAAAAAAUUUAAUCAAUCACCAAUUAAAUGAUGACACGUGGUGCACCAACUAAAGUAUGAAAGAAAAAUAAACAUCAUCAUAUUUAAAAAGAAUAAUAAAAAAAGGAAAUAAAAGCAAAUC
rnacentral:lncRNA from 1 species